AUGCGAAGGACAUCAUCGGAAGGACUCAUGGACUGCAAGAUGCUGCCAAUCAAUAACAACCACGGUGCAGGGGUUGCAAUGAUAAUGGGCCCAAACUUCUUAGCACGCAAGAACUACCAGCAAAGUUCACCUGAGGAUUUGGCCCUGGCAACAAUGUUGGUGAGACCGGGAAACCUGUUCAUGGAGGAUCCGGUGAUGAAGGAUGCAAGCCUGCUCACCGAUACCAACUACGGGUCGGUGAAGAAGGUAUAUGUGGUAGCAAAGGCUGAUGGCUCCAGCACCGAGGAGAUGCAGCGUUGGAUGGUGUUGUUGAGCCCCGGCACGGAGGCCGAGGAGAUCGCGGGAGCUGACCACGCCAUCAUGAGCUCAAGGCCUAGGGAGCUCUGUGAUGCUCUGGUCAAGAUCGCCGACAGCUUAAAUACUUGCUAA
rnacentral:rRNA from 1 species